AUCGAACGCUGGCGGCAGGCCUAACACAUGCAAGUCGAGCGGAGCUGCGGACGGGUGAGUAAUACCUAGAAAUCUGCCUGGCAGUGGGUGUUAACGUUCGGAUACGGACGCUAAUCCAGCAUACUAUCAGAUGAGCCUAGGUCGGAUUGGCUAGUUGGUGAGGUAAUGGCUCAUAAAGGCUCCGAUCCGUAACUGGUCUGAGAGGAUGAUCAGUCACACGUGAAAUGAGAAACGGUCCAGGCUCCUACGGGAGACAGGAGUGGGGAAUAGUGGACAAUGGGCGAAAGCCUAAUCCAGCCAUGCCGCGUGUGUGAAGAAGGUCUUAGGAUUGUAAAGCACAUUAAGUUGGGAGUCGUUACCGACAGAAUAAGCACAGGCUAACUCUGUGCCAGCAGCCGCGGUAAUUC
rnacentral:rRNA from 1 species